AUGGGAAGAACUAGAGAUCUCUUCGAGAAAAUUAGAGACACCAAGGGACUAUUUCAUGCAAAGAUGGGCUCGAUAAAGGACAGAAAUGGUAUGAACCUAACAGAGGCAGAAGAUAUUAAAAAGAGGCAGCGAGAAUACAUAGAAGAACUGUACAAAAAAUAUCUUCACGACCAAGAUAAUCAUGAUGGUGUGAUCACUAAUCUAGAGCCAGACAUCCUGGAAUGUGAAGUCAAGUGGGCCUUAGAAAGCAUCACUAUGAACAAAGCUAGUGGAGGUGAUGGAAUUCCAGUUGCGCUAUUUCAAAUCCUGAAAGAUGAUGUUGUGAAAGUGCUGCACUCAAUAUGCCAGAAAAUUUGGAAAACUCAGCAGUGGUCACAGGACUGGAAAAGGUCAGUUUUCAUUUCAAUCCCAAAGAAAGGCAAUGCCAAAGAAUGCUCAAACUACUGUACCAUUGCACUCAUCUCACAUGCUAGUAAAGUAAUGCUCAAAAUUCUCCAAGCCAGGCUUCAGCAAUACGUGAACCAUGAACUUCCAGAUGUUCAAGCUGGUUUUAGAAAAGGCAGAGGAACCAGAGAUCAAAUUGACAACAUGUGCUGGAUCAUGGAAAAAGCAAGAGAGUUCCAGAAAAACAUCUAUUUCUGCUUUAUUGACUAUGCCAAAGCCUUUGACUGUGUGGAUCACAAGAAACUGUGGAAAAUUCUUCAAGAGAUGGAAAUACCAGACCACCUGACCUGCCUCUUGAGAAAUCUGUAUGCAGGUCAGGAAGCAAGAGUUAGAACUGGACAUGGAACAACAGACUGGUUCCAAAUAGGAAAAGGAGUACGUCAAGGCUGUCUAUUGUCACCCUGCUUAUUUAACUUAUAUGCAGACUACAUCAUGAGAAACCCUGGGCUGGAAGAAGCACCAUCUGGGAUCAAGAUUGCCAGGAGAAACAUCGAUAACCUCAGAUAUGCAGAUGACACCACCCUUAUGGCAGAAAGUGAAGAGGAACUAGAAAGCCUCUUGAUGAAAGUGAAAGUGGAGAGUGAAAAAGUUGGCUUAAAGCUCAACAUUCAGAAAACGAAGAUCAUGGCAUCUAGUCCCAUCACUUCAUGGGAAAUAGAUGGGGAAACAGUGGGAACAGUGUCAGACUUUAUUUUUUUGGGCCUCAAAAUCACUGCAGAUGGUGACUGCAGCCAUGAAAUUAAAAGAUGCUUACUCCUUGGAAGAAACGUUAUGACCAACCUAGAUAGCAUAUUGAAAAGCAGAGACAUUACUUUGCCGACUAAGGUCUGUCUAGUCAAGGCUAUAGUUUUUCCAGUGGCCAUGAAUGGAUGUGAGAGUUGGACUGUGAAGAAGGCAGAGUACCGAAGAAUUGAUGCUUUGGAAGUGUGGUGUUGGAGAAGACUCUUGACAGUCCCUUGGACUGCAAGGGGAUCCAACCAGUCCAUUCUGAAGGAGAUCAGCCCUGGGAUUUCUUUGGAGGGAAUGAUGCUGAAGCUGGAACUCCGGUAUUUUGGCCACCUCAUGUGA
rnacentral:lncRNA from 1 species